GACGAACGCUGGCGGCGUGCUUAACACAUGCAAGUCGAACGGAAAGGCCCUGCUUUUGUGGGGUGCUCGAGUGGCGAACGGGUGAGUAACACGUGAGUAACCUGCCCUUGACUUUGGGAUAACUUCAGGAAACUGGGGCUAAUACCGGAUAGGAGCUCCUGCUGCAUGGUGGGGGUUGGAAAGUUUCGGCGGUUGGGGAUGGACUCGCGGCUUAUCAGCUUGUUGGUGGGGUAGUGGCUUACCAAGGCUUUGACGGGUAGCCGGCCUGAGAGGGUGACCGGCCACAUUGGGACUGAGAUGCGGCACGGACUCCUACGGGAGGCAGCAGUGGGGAAUAUUGCACAAUGGGCGGAAGCCUGAUGCAGCAACGCCGCGUGCGGGAUGACGGCCUUCGGGUUGUAAACCGCUUUCGACUGUGACGAAGCGUGAGUGACGGUAAUGGGUAAAGAAGCACCGGCUAACUACGUG
rnacentral:rRNA from 1 species